rnacentral:rRNA from 1 species
GCUCUCAAGAAGUUAGCGGCGGACGGGUGAGUAACACGUGGGUAACCUGCCCAUAAGACUGGGAUAACUCCGGGAAACCGGGGCUAAUACCGGAUAACAUUUUGAACUGCAUGGUUCGAAAUUGAAAGGCGGCUUCGGCUGUCACUUAUGGAUGGACCCGCGUCGCAUUAGCUAGUUGGUGAGGUAACGGCUCACCAAGGCAACGAUGCGUAACCGACCUGAAAGGGUGAUCGGCCACA